rnacentral:rRNA from 1 species
GGAUGCGAUCAUACCAGCACGAAAGCACCGGAUCCCAUCAAAACUCCGAAGUUAAGCGUGCUUUGGCGAGAGUAGUACUAGGAUGGGUGACCUCCUGGGAAGUCCUCGUGUUGCAUUCC